rnacentral:misc_RNA from 1 species
UACGUAGGGGGCGAGCGUUGUCCGGAUUCAUUGGGCGUAAAGAGCGCGUAGGCGGCUGAGCAAGUCGGAUGUGAAAGCUCCAGGCUCAACCUGGAGAGGCCACCCGAUACUGCUCUGGCUAGAGUCCGGUAGGGGAAGGUGGAAUAUCUGGUGUAGCGGUGAAAUGCGCAGAUAUCAGGUGGAACACCGGUGGCGAAGGCGGCCUUCUGGGCCGGUACUGACGCUGAGGCGCGAAAGCGUGGGGAGCGAACAGG